UGAAUGUUAGCCUCCAGCAUGUCAUUAGCUCUUUCUGGGUUUACACAUGUUUCUGUAGUGGUGUAGGGAGUAAGAUUCGUGAUUUGCGGCUUGAUUAUUAAAAUCGCGCAUCCUUAAAGAGGUUCUGUCGCUUUUCGUGUUCUGUAAAAUAAGCCUAUUUGUUAGGACUUUUAGGAGACGCCCCCUUCUUCAGUGAUUAAUAUUAUACAAUCUCAUAGGUGAGAAUUUAGCUAUGAUGGAAAAGAGGGGGAGGAAAUAAAGUGCCAGCACCUGCGGUUAAACUUUUCCCUCUAGUUAAUGGGUUAUUGUGGAAGAGUGUCAGAGUUUAUGGAAGAGAAUUUUAUUCUGUAUUGGUGAAAUGAGGUAUUAGAAGAUAAAAGUUUCGUGCCUUCUUAAUCUGAAGCCUUGUAAGACUGUUUAGAAGACGGGGAUUAGAUACCCCCUUAUUAAGGUUAUUUUAGAAUCCAUGGGUAGUACGGACGUUUGUUUAAAAUCCAAGGAAGUUGGCGGUGUUUCAAAUCAGUUGAGGGGAACUUGGCGGUUAAUUCGAUGAUCCUCGAGGACUUUACCUUUUGUAUUCUUAGCAUACCGCCGUUGUCAGCUAUCCUUUUACUAGUUGUAGAGGAUUGCAAGUGAAUAGGGUAAAGGUUACUACUACUUAGUAGAAGUAGUUUAACCGGUCUAUAUGAAUUCAGGUAAACGUGUUGGUUAUCAAGAGGGCUUAGCUGAGUUACAAUUAUGAAAUAAUUUACGGAGACUAAGAUUGUAGUUGAAAUACUAAGUUGAAGGUGUACUUCACAGUAAUAUCUUUGAUUAAAGAGGUGUGAAUGUGGUUAGUGGAACGUGUACAAAUCGCCCGGCACCCCUGUAUACUCAAGUCUGGGUAAGCCGUAACACAGUAAUGCUACUAGAAAGUGGUUUUAUAUAAA
rnacentral:ncRNA from 1 species